rnacentral:rRNA from 1 species
UACGUAGGGUCCAAGCGUUAUCCGGAAUUACUGGGCGUAAAGAGUUGCGUAGGUGGCAUGGUAAGUUGAUAGUGAAAGCGUGCGGCUCAACCGCAUAAACAUUAUCAAAACUACCAAGCUAGAGCAUGAGAGAGGUAACUGGAAUUCCUAGUGUAGGAGUGAAAUCCGUAGAUAUUAGGAGGAACACCGAUGGCGUAGGCAGGUUACUGGCUCAUUGCUGACACUAAGGCACGAAAGCGUGGGGAGCGAACGGG